rnacentral:rRNA from 1 species
AACGAACGCUGGCGGUAGGCUUAACACAUGCAAGUCGAACGGGUGCAGCAAUGCAUCAGUGGCAGACGGGUGAGUAACACGUGGGAACCUUCCUAGGGGUACGGAACAACUCAGGGAGACUUGAGCUAAUACCGUAUACGUCCGUGAGGAGAAAGAUUUAUCGCCCUUAGACGGGCCCGCGUCGGAUUAGCUAGUUGGUGGGGUAACGGCCUACCAAGGCGACGAUCCGUAGCUGAUCUUAGAGGAUGAUCAGCCACACUGGGACUGAGACACGGCCCAGACUCCUACGGGAGGCAGCAGUGGGGAAUCUUGGACAAUGGGCGCAAGCCUGAUCCAGCCAUGCCGCGUGAGUGAAGAAGGUCUUCGGAUUGUAAAGCUCUUUUGCCAGGGACGAUAAUGACGGUACCUGGAGAAUAAGCCCCGGCAAACUUCGUGCCAGCCGCCGCGGUAACAC